rnacentral:misc_RNA from 1 species
GAUGAAGAACGUAGCGAAACGCGAUAAGUAAUGUGAAUUGCAGAAUUCAGUGAAUCAUCGAAUCUUUGAACGCACAUUGCGCCCGGUAGUAAUCUGCCGGGCAUGCCUGUCCGAGCGUCAUUUCAACCCUCGAACCACUAUUCGCGUAGCUGGAUCGGUGUUGGGGCACUACGGUGGAAUACCCGUAGGCCCCGAAAUGAAGUGGCGGUCCCGCCGCGGCGCCCCCAUGCGUAGUAACAUCUCGUCUCGCAUCGGGUCCCGGCGGAGGCCUGCCGUCAAGCCUAUUUUCUAAUUACAGAUGGUUUGACCUCGGAUCAGGUAGGGUUACCCGCUGAACUUAAGCAUAUCAAUAAGCGGAGGA